rnacentral:rRNA from 1 species
GUGAACGCUGGCGGUAGGCCUAACACCUGCAAGUCGAACGGCAGCACCGUAAGAGCUUGCUCUUACGGGUGGCGAGUGGCGGACGGGUGAGGAAUACAUCGGAAUCUACUUUUUCGUGGGGGAUAACGUAGGGAAACUUACGCUAAUACCACAUACGACCUACGGGUGAAAGCAGGGGAUCUUCGGACCUUGCGCGAUUGAAUGAGCCGAUGUCGGAUUAGCUAGUUGGCGGGGUAAAGGCCCACCAAGGCGACGAUCCGUAGCUGGUCUGAGAGGAGGAUCGGCCACACUGGAGCUGAGACACGGUCCAGACUCCUACGGGAGGCAGCAGUGGGGAAUAUUGGACAAUGGGCGCAAGCCUGAUCCAGCCAUACCGCGUGGGUGAAGAAGGCCUUCGGGUUGUAAAGCCCUUUUGUUGGGAAAGAAAAGCAGCAGGUUAAUACCCCGCUGUUCUGACGGUACCCAAAGAAUAAGCACCGGCUAACUUCGUG